AUUAAAAUCAGAAACCCUAAUUCCCAAAUUGGAACCUAACCCUCAUUUUCCCCUUUCCUCAGAGGCUGAAACACGCAGCCUUCACCCCCUUUCUCCUUCACCCACUUAACGCACAACACACCCACACCAGCCACAGAGAGGAAGAGAGGGAGCUGUGCCACGUUACCGUCCAGUCGCUGUCCGGCUCGCCAUCACCGGUGUCUCACCGCCGUCACUAUGGAGACCAAACGCCGUUGAGCUUCUUGCUGCUGCCUUGGAGUCCUUCGUCAGGUUCGAGUUGAAGAAAGAGGGAGGCAUAGAUUCAACAUCGCGUAGAGAGGGAUUUGUUGUUGUCGUUGCGCGCCGUCGUGUGCUGUCGCUGUUGUUCGAGCCGUCGCCAUCGCCGUGGGUGAAGUCCGCCGCUGGUACCAGUUGAGGCCGCUUCUAUGGAACAGAGAUGAGAGAGAGACGUUGGGAGGAAACUGUGAGCUGCAAGCCGCUGACCGAGAAGAAGCUCUGCCUUUGUCGCCGUGUUAGAGUCGUCGCUGCCAAUGCCGCGCACCGCCGUUAACGCUGCCGUUGAAGGGAGCUCGCCGUCACAGUUCAAUCAUCAUUGAGCUUGAAGGGAGGCGUCACUGAUAUACCCGACAGCAGCUUCCCCUACGUUCCCAAUUCCAUUCUUGAAACUUAUUAUCAUCUUUAUCCGGAACCACUGAUGUCACCGCUACGGAGGUGAUUGGGAUAGGUGCGAUUGUCAUUGUUGUUACUGCCCCAGAAGAAGUGAGGCUGCUGCUGCUGUUCCGGCCGCAUUGGCUGUUGUAAACUGGAAAAAAGAAGGGCAUCAUUGCAUUUAAAUUCGACGGUUUCGACUAAUUGAGCAACCCAAGAGAUUGUAUUUUGCUGGAAGGGAUGUUACAGUUGCUGCUCCGUGUUCUCGGUUAAUCGUAAGUCCGGAUCGAGUUCCGGUUAUUGUAUGUUACAAUUCAAGCUGUUUCGGUUGUUGCGGAAGUGGAUAAAGCUGAGGUUAUGGUUGCUGCUGUCGCUGGCCGAGGAAAAAGGGGUUUUUGACGCGUUUUGGUUUUGCGAGUUUCGACUUUGAGGAUAAUUUUUUUGGACUCGUAAAGACAAAAGGAGUUGACUAGUUGUUGUGGCACCCUGUAUAAGAUGGGAUGGGUCUUAUAAUGAGUUUGGUUAUCUAAAUGUAUUAUUUUGAUGUGUUCUUUACUUUUUGAUAAGAGACUUUAUCCGAUAUUAUAUGUAAUGGAUAAAUUACACUCUAUUUUGAUUAGUGUUGUAAUGAAUAUCUAAUUUUUAAUGAAACUUUUAUGAUUUGAAUUUA